GGAUUGUGGCUCAGAGGGAGAGCACUUGCCUCGCAUGCUUGAGGCACUGGGUUCGAUCCUCGGCACCA
rnacentral:tRNA from 1 species